AACGAACGCUGGCGGCAUGCCUAACACAUGCAAGUCGAACGAGCCCUUCGGGUCUAGUGGCGCAAGGGUGCGUAACGCGUGGGAACCUGCCCUUAGGUUCGGAAUAACUACCCGAAAGGGGUGCUAAUACCGGAUAAUGUCUUCGGACCAAAGAUUUAUUGCCUUUGGAUGGGCCCGCGUUGGAUUAGCUAGUUGGUAGGGUAAAAGCCUACCAAGGCGACGAUUCAUAGCUGGUCUGAGAGGAUGAUCAGCCACACUGGGACUGAGACACGGCCCAGACUCCUACGGAAGGCAGCAGUGGGGAAUAUUGGACAAUGGGCGAAAGCCUGAUCCAGCAAUGCCGCGUGAGUGAUGAAGGCCUUAGGGUUGUAAAGCUCUUUUACCCGGGAUGAUAAUGACAGUACCGGGAGAAUAAGCUCCGGCUAACUCCGUG
rnacentral:rRNA from 1 species